AACGAACGCUGGCGGCAGGCCUAACACAUGCAAGUCGAACGCUCCGCAAGGGGAGUGGCGCACGGGUGAGUAACGCGUGGGAAUCUACCUAUUAGUAAGGAAUAACAGUUGGAAACGACUGCUAAUACCUUAUACGCCCUACGGGGGAAAGAUUUAUCGCUAAUAGAUGAGCCCGCGUAAGAUUAGCUAGUUGGUGAGGUAAUGGCUCACCAAGGCUACGAUCUUUAGCUGGUCUGAGAGGAUGAUCAGCCACACUGGAACUGAGACACGGUCCAGAAUCCUACGGGAGGCAGCAGUGGGGAAUAUUGGACAAUGGGCGAAAGCCUGAUCCAGCCAUGCCGCGUGAAUGAUGAAGGCCUUAGGGUUGUAAAGUUCUUUCGCCGCCGAGGAUAAUGACGGUAAGCGGAUAAGAAGCCCCGGCUAACUUCGUGCCAGCAGCCGCGGUAA
rnacentral:rRNA from 1 species